rnacentral:rRNA from 1 species
UACGUAGGGAGCAAGCGUUGUUCGGAUUUACUGGGCGUAAAGGGCGCGUAGGCGGCGUGUCAAGUCAAUUGUGAAAUCUCCGGGCUUAACACGGAACGGCCAAUUGAUACUGUCAUGCUAGAGUGCAGAAAGGGCAAUCGGAAUUCUUGGUGUAGCGGUGAAAGGCGUAGAUAUCAAGAGGAACACCUGAGGCGAAGGCGGGUUGCUAGGCUGACACUGACGCUGCGGCGCGAAAGCCAGGGGAGCAAACGGG